UCAUUAGUUGCCAUCAGGUAAAGCUGGGAACUCUAAUGAAACUGCCGUCGUAAGACGUGAGGAAGGAGGGGAUGAUGUCAAGUCAUCAUGGCCUUUAUGCCCAGGGCUACACACGUGCUACAAUGGGGAGGACAAAGGGCUGCCACUUGGCGACAAGGAGCUAAUCCCAAAAACCUCCUCUCAGUUCAGAUUGGAGUCUGCAACUCGACUCCAUGAAGCUGGAAUCGCUAGUAAUCGUAUAUCAGCAAUGAUACGGUGAAUACGUUCCCGGACCUUGCACACACCGCCCGUCAAGCCAUGGAAGCCGGGUGUACCUAAAGUCGGUAACCGCAAGGAGCCGCCUAGGGUAAAACUGGUGACUGGGGCUAAGUCGUAACAAGGUAGCCGUAUCGGAAGGUGCGGCUGGAAUACCUCCUUU
rnacentral:rRNA from 1 species